GACAGAGGUCCCAAGCGUUGUUCGGAUUUACUGGGCGUAAAGGGCGCGUAGGCGGCCGGGCCCGUCCGGCGUGAAAGCCCGCAGCUUAACUGCGGAAGGGCGCCAGAUACUACCCGGCUCGAGGGUUGGAAGGGGGACUGGAAUUCUCGGUGUAGCGGUGAAAUGCGUAGAUUUCGAGAAGAACGCCAGUGGCGAAGGCGAGUCCCUGGACAACUCCUGACGCUGAGGCGCGAAAGCCAGGGGAG
rnacentral:rRNA from 1 species